rnacentral:lncRNA from 1 species
ACAUGGCCUCUCCAGCAUCCCGGGCAUCCACUGGGUUCUCCAGGGAGCCGAUCAACCGUCCUUCACCCAGAGUUGCAUUGCGUCUGUGGUCUUGAAAAUCUUCUCUUAACCGGUCUUGAUUAUUUAAUCAACCUCGCAUCACUUGUGAUAUACACUCAACCGAAAACCCGUCUACUCAAGCAUAGCAAAUAUAACAUUGUCGUCCCGGG